GUCUCUGACUAGCCUGUGGUGACUGUGUUGUCCAUGACUAGCCUGUGCUGACUGUGCUGGCUAAUCUGGGGACCAUUACAUUUUGUUUUUGGGUUACCGAAGGGUUGCAGGUACGGGGACCACUGCAUGUACCAACAUGACAAGUCAGAGAUGGAAGAUGUAAGCAGGCAGGUCAGUCCCUGAUUUCACCAAGUUCGCAUAUUGAAGAGCACAAUCCACUCUGUAGGGUUGGCCACUCUAACACAAUUUUUCUGUAACCACUAUUGAAAUAAAAUGUGAUCAUACACCAUCAGCAGAUCAGCCAUCGCCAUUCAUGUAUUGUUUAAAAAAUGUGAUUGUGUUCCCAUAAACAAAGCAGGC